GGACAUGAGGCAAUCUGGCUGCAGCAUCUGUCACCCCGUUGACCUCCAGGGUUGAUUCAGGUGAUCUGUCUAGCGAGGCAGGUGUCCUCUUCCCCCUCACUGCUCUAUGUGUGUCCCUCCCAAGGCUGCAUGCUCCGUUGAAGAGGAUGGCCGUCCCCAAUAGAGGAGGUCAAGGGCAUACAACAAGCUUUCAGUGAGCUGUAAAUUUAUGAUUCUCCACCUUUGUAGAUUCCCCAAAACCUCUAACUGGUGUUCAGAUCAGGCAUACGUAGCGUACGGUUCAGGAAACCAUCUUUUAAACAAACACAAGAGAGAAUUCUUUUUGU
rnacentral:snRNA from 1 species